rnacentral:piRNA from 1 species
AGGACAGUGAGAAGAACCGGAAGCU